rnacentral:rRNA from 1 species
UACGGAGGGUGCAAACGUUGCUCGGAAUCAUUGGGCGUAAAGCGCACGUAGGCGGCCUGUUAAGUCGGAUGUGAAAGCCCCGGGCUCAACCCGGGAAGUGCAUUCGAAACUGACAGGCUUGAAUAUGGAAGAGGGUCGCGGAAUUCCCGGUGUAGAGGUGAAAUUCGUAGAUAUCGGGAGGAACACCAGUGGCGAAGGCGGCGACCUGGGCCAAUAUUGACGCUGAGGUGCUAAAGCGUGGGGAGCAAACAGG